UCCGGUUUGUCACCGGCAGUCUCGCUAAAGUGCCCAACUUAAUGAUGGCAAUUAACGACAAGGGUUGCGCUCGUUGCGGGACUUAACCCAACAUCUCACGACACGAGCUGACGACAGCCAUGCAGCACCUGUGUUCUGGCUCCCGAAGGCACCCCCUGAUCUCUCAGGGGUUCCAGACAUGUCAAGGGUAGGUAAGGUUUUUCGCGUUGCAUCGAAUUAAUCCACAUCAUCCACCGCUUGUGCGGGUCCCCGUCAAUUCCUUUGAGUUUUAAUCUUGCGACCGUACUCCCCAGGCGGUCGACUUCACGCGUUAGCUGCGUCACUCAGAAAGUUACCUCUCCGAACGACUAGUCGACAUCGUUUAGGGCGUGGACUAC
rnacentral:misc_RNA from 1 species